UGUCAUUGUUGAUCCCUGUGGGUAUGUCUUGGCACUACAGUGGAAGUCUGUUUGAUAAGUAGGCAUUCUUAUUUAAAAACUGAUGAUGAUAAAAUAAGAAAAUCCUGAUAAAACGACAUAAAACUCCAAACUGUUCAAUGGGUUCGCGUACUUUCAAGCAGCACUGUAUUGAUCUUUAGCUUUUGAACUAACUGUUAUGUGAAAUAGAGCUGCAUUCGCAUUCUUUAUGUACAAAUGCUUGUCUUUAAAAAGAAAAAUACAUUAUUACAUCAA